rnacentral:rRNA from 1 species
GACGAACGCUGGCGGCGUGCUUAACACAUGCGAGUCGAACGGAAAGGCCUGCUUUCCCUUGUGGAUUGCGGGUGCUCGAGUGGCGAACGGGUGAGUAACACGUGAGUGAUCUGCCCCCAACUUGGGUAUAAGCCUGGGAAACUGGGUCUAAUUCCCGAUAGGACUGCAGGGUGGUGCCUGUGGUGGAAAACGAUUUUCUAGUGGUUGGGGAUGAGCUCGCGGCCUAUCAGCUUGUUGGUGGGGUAAUGGCCUACCAAGGCGGCGACGGGUAGCCGGCCUGAGAGGGUGGACGGCCCCAUUGGGACUGGGUUCCGGCCCAGACUCCUGCGGGAGGCAGCAGUGGGGAAUAUUGGACAGUGGGCGGAAGCCUGAUGCAGCGACGCCGCGUGGGGGAUGACGGCCUUCGGGUUGUAAACUCCUUUCGACCGCGAGGAAGCCACCUGGUUGGAAGGGUGGUGACGGUAGUGGUAGAAGAAGCACCGGCUAACUACGUG